rnacentral:rRNA from 1 species
UGGUGGAGUGAUUUGUCUGCUUAAUUGCGAUAACGAACGAGACUCUAGCCUAUUUUAAAUAUGUAGCUGGAUUUGGCAGUUGCCGCGCUCUUGGUUGGUUCGCCGGCUAGAGUGUUGGUAGCUUGCUCAAAUUGCAACUAAAGCUAGCCUGAGUUCGCUCAGCUAGCAACUUCUUAGAGGGACCUGAGUUGAUAAUUUACAUUCAAACUCAUGAAGUGGAGCAAUAACA